ensembl:lncRNA
GCGUUAUCGGGUCUACAGUAAGACCUGGGAUAAACCUUCAACUUCCAGUAAGCAGCACCUCUCUGACAGUUAUUUAAAGCCUGUCCGCAUUGUUCCAGAGCUAUUUCCUUUUUCCUCUAAGGCAACCUACAGUAGGAAACCGGCGGUCCCUCAGGUAGCCCGCUUCCACUUCACUUGAAGUCUUGCCUGCUCGUUGCAUUUGGGGCCAGCAGAGCGAUCUGCAGAGGCUGAAAAUUGUCUGCGGCUUCCUGCCUUUUGUGGAGUGGGCCAAAGAUAACAGUUUUGGUUUGGUUUCGGACGGCCCAGGAGUGGGCCUGUUGUGAUUCAUGCGUUCCACUUGCAGAUUGGCAUUGCUGAGACUAUAAAAUGGACGUGCUUGCUUUGGACGGCCUUCCGUAGCCUUUGAAGGGCACAGAAGUGUUCUCCCUGGUUUUGGUGGGAGAAGCAGUCUGUUUGGUGUGCUAGGCUGGUGUGCCAGUUAGUAUCUCCUACUGAUAGGAUGGGAAAGGACAGGGGAUUGGGGUCUCAUUUGUGAAGACUGAAUGUUUGUAGAUGGGGCGUUUUGCACAUUACAUACAAUUUGCAGACCAGUGAUUUGGUAGUUUGUUUUAACCGAUCCAUCUGCCAUCUUAACUCUAGAAAUGAAUGGAAAAGACAGCGUGCUGUGAAUGGAAGUCGUGCUCUGUGAAACCAGCAGUUACUCGUGUGGUAACAGAUAUGGUCUGCGGGGAAAAAAGAGAAUGAACUGAAAGCGAGACGUGGAAAUCAAGCUAUGGGAAAGGGUUUCUUUUGUGACGUUGUGGAUGACCGCAAGGAUUGGCAUUUGUAGCAACCAGAGCCCAUCUCAGUCAUGCAGGGAGUCGCUUUGUAAACGCAGUUUUCCUGCCAACGAGGUUUGUUUGCUUGGUGAUAAGAAACAAUGGUCAACUCGAUGUGCUACUUAAGCAUUUCAGUGCUUGAGAAGAGGAAUCUAGGUUUGUGCUGAACCUGUUUUCUUAGUUAGUCAAAUGCCGGCUUGGCAGCCAAUCUAGAAGGCUGGUAGCACCGAGGCAGAGUGAUUAUGAGGAUUGUUUUCAGCAGCCUCUGCUAAGUCUGCUUUUAUGAAACUUCUUUCCGUUGAGGAAAACAGGUCUUAUCUUCAGGAUUGGAAGCACCGCAUGAGGGAGAGGCACGGGCCAUACUUUUCAAGUGCAUUACCAGACGUCAGUUCCGUCCCGAGAUCGCCCUGCACCGUCCCCGUGGCAGUUCCACCACGUUUCAGACACCUCUACGCUUCUGUACCAAGCUUGCAACUAACCAAAUUUUAAUGUGAUGAAAAAGGAGAGAGCAAUUUAUAUCAUGAUUUCGCUGUGGAAUUGACUUCAGGCUUUACUGCUAUUUGUCACCAUUCAGGAAAUCCAUCCCUGGCUCGAGAAGAACACUCAGUCCCUGCUGACAGUUUGAAAGAGGGAGAGAAAAUAGAUAGCAGAGCUGCAGCUAUUAGGACCAACAGGCAGCAGGCUCACAACAACGACAAGAUGUUAUCCCACGGAAAGCUGCUGCUGCUGCCUCUGGCCUUGGUUAACCUGUUGGCAAUGGUGCUUGCCUGGGCAUGGGGCAACUGGCUUUUCACACAGCUCAGCAUGGACGUGCUGCCACUCCCAGUCACUUUUAGGACACAGUAGAAUUGUUUUUCUUGAGAUUACUGUACCCAUUAAUCUUAAGAAAAACAUGUAAUAAAACUGUUCAGCCUUCCUGGGGCCACCACUCCCAGAGACCUUUCCCCUUUUUGGCUUCUGCAAUAGCUUCUUUCCUUUGGCUCUGUACCUUUAUCAGCUAGAAAUGAUAAACUACAAAGCUGGUUGGCUUCAGGCUCUCUUUUUUGCAGGACAGGCUAUGCUUGUGCCUAUUGAGGACUGGAAGAUCACAGAGGAUGAGGGGGAAAGGGAAGGCUGCUCGCUCUUGUACACAGUGCAGGGGCAGGAUACAGCCUUUUAUGAAGUUCAGCAAAGAAAAACUUGGGCUUUCCUGCACACCGUGCCAUACCAGUCAGCCUGGUACUUAUGUUCCUGGACCUUUGAAGGCAAGAAACAACAUGCAGUGGGAAUGAAAUCUAAGCCUUGCUGCACCAGAACACUGGUUGCAGCCAAGUUUAGAAGUCUGACGUGAGAGUCAGGUGGAGCAGGUACCAUGGCAGGAGAUGCCAUGUAUCACCUGCAGGCAUGCAGAUCUGCAGUGCUGCUACAGCAUCAGAGUCCAACUGCAAUGUGUGGCAUGUGAGAAGCUGGUGAACCCGCGGCCACGUUCGGCUUGAAUGCACUUUCCUUGGGAGGAAGUGGCUUUUCCCUCGGAGAGCUCAACUCCCCAGGGUCCCUGUGAGGUCAGUGGAAAAAGUGAUUUCAUCAGAGUAUGUUCCAGAAUGCCUUGACAAACACUUAUCAUUUUGACUGUGGAGCAAACUUAACCUCUGUAGUUUUAAACCCGCUUUUGUGAGUACCAAACCCUGCCUGCUCCUUAGCUUUGAGAGUUAUGCUGUCCCUGCUAGGCAGAUUGCCUACUGCGGUUCAGGUGCUGCAGGCCCAAGCUGAGAGAAGCUCGUCCAGCAGCGCACAGCGUGUCCUAUUGCAUCCUGCUUCAUCCUUUGGCUUAUCCUGGAAUAGGUUAGCAGGUAGCAGAGAAAUCAAAUGAAGUCCAAAAAUGUUGGUUUCUUUCUGGAUGGCCUGACUGGACUGGAAUAAUCAGCAUCUGUUUCGGUUUAAAUGAGUUUUCAUUCCGGCCUUUUUUCCCUUUUCGAAGUACAGACAACUGAAGACUUUAAUUUGCCCCAUCUUUUACUGUAGAGAAAAGUAGAAGUUUCUGUCAGCUGAUACUAUUGCACCUAGAAUAUCUAUACUUAAAAAAGAAUACAAUUUAUUGUCUAUUAUGAAUGAAAAAGCUCUUGCUGGUUUCUUUCAUUUGUAGUGUUGACUUUGAAAGAUAAAUUGUUUGAACUGGUUGACUCUCCAUUUGUAUAACUGAAGGUUAGCUUGCUUGAUAGCCUGAUGGGUCUGCAGUUUUUGCUUGCACUAAAUAAGCUGCAGAACUGCCAGCCCUGGGCAGCUAGGACACAGCACAUACUUGAAAACCAAUUGUCACUUUUACUGGUAAAUCAGGCAGAAUAAUCUCAUGCAUGACAUCCUGGAUGUUUCAGGAUUGAUCCAUCUGGAAGAGCCCCCAUAGGGCCUAGAAUGUGUUUCUGAAGCUGACACACGUACAUAAGUGCUAAUGAGUUUAAAGUUGAAGCUGACAGGCCCAGAACUGUUUUUACCUGGUAGUUUUGCAACCCUAAACCAUGCAGCUUGGUUGUGAGGACACAGGCAUGUUAAACAAACUCCAUCCUUUUUUUUCCAUAUGUGUUUGCUGUGUAGAACCAGCAGCAAGAAAGUGUAGAAAGAAUUUCUUGUCACUCCAUUGAGCAGACCUGACUCUGAGCACAGAGAAGGAACAGAGUAAAAAUAGUAACAUCUUGCUGUACUGUACUCCCUCAGCAGAGAACCACAUUUUGAGGUUCCCCUUCUUUGUGUCCUUAUUUGUAUUGCAACAGAAGCUUUCGCUCUGGUGGGCAGUCUUUCUCUUCAGUGUGGUGGAUCUUCUUGUUGGCCACUCUGUCCCAGUGCUGGUUUCUAGGUUUUGCCAGUGGUUCUGGAUGUGUAUGUACGUUUUCUGUGCCUCAUACUUCACCUCUCUCCCCUUUUUAGGCUGUGCCAGCUCUUCCAGCCUCCCCACUUUCUGUGUACCUGUGACCAUGGCAAUACAGCCAGGAUUACAUCUAAGGUGAAGACAGAAAAACCAUGAUGAAGGUUUAUGCUAUUUUCAUGACGAAUACGAUGCUCACAAAAAUGAAAAGGUGUUUGUCUUCAAAGCCUUCAAAGCUUUCUUCUUUCCCACAGAACGAGUGAACACGUUGCAACCCUUGCCUGAAAGACUGAGGCCAAGUUUCUCAAAAACUGACAAUUCAGGAAAAGGGAUAGGAUAGGAUGGGAAAGUCUGGGCAGAGUGAGGUGUAGAUGAGAGGAAGGUAAAACCUUAAAAUGGGAAUUUGGAGGUUUGAGAUGAGGUGGAGGGAGGCUGAGAUUCACGAAGAAAGUGUAAUCAGUAAUGAGAGGAGGUUUAUGCUGAGACCAUCUGUGCAAGGAACCAGUAGCAGGGGAGGGACAGAAGUCAGCAGAAUUGUUUGUCAGUGCAGAGAAAGUCACAGGGGAUAGGAAGUUAGAAGAAGAACUGGGCAAAGGAGACUGAAUGAAGAGCUGGCGUAGGGAACCAGAGCUGGAAGCGCUGUUGGAUGCUAAGAAACUAGAGGCGGGUGGUAGACAUCUGAAGGUGUUAGCUGGGCAUAGGCAGAGGGGAAGGUGGUGGAGUACUGGGGAAGGCUGCGGGAUGAGGGGCAUGUGCUGGCUGGGCCAUCUCUGCUCUCCAGGCUGGCAGCCAAGCAGGGCUUACCCAAGGCUGGCCUUCACUGUGGCUCAGCCGGCAAAGAAUUUGCCUCUUGUUGGUCUGCCCCAGACACAGAGAGAAUUUAGUGCCCUGGGAUGAGGCGGCAGCAGCUGCCUGCCUGGGGGAGGAGAGGGCUUGCUUGUAGUUAGAUGGAAAAAUAAAAUUACAGUUGGGAGGAGGUAGUGAAAAGGCCACGUGAACAAGAGAGAAAAGGUCAAUUCAUUAGUCCGGCAGCCACUAAAUUAAGAAAAGGCAAGUGAGGCUAUAAUAUCAGAGGUAUCUGAAUUCAGUCAAAGAUGGUUCUGAAGUUGCUGGAUUGAUCUUGUGGUCAGCUUAAGCAAGCUUAACAAAUUAAUUACAGUAUUUUAGUUCAUUGUGUAAGAGCUAGCUAAUAAAUCACAGUGCUUUGUAGAAACAUGCUUGAAACAACUGUGUAAAUACUAAAUAGCCUUAGGAGUGGUCUUACGAAUCCACGGAAUAAUCCAAAUUCCAGCACUCUUCCCCCUCUGCUGCUGCUCUAGAUAUAGGAUAACAGUCACUGCUGUUAUCUGCUCCUUUUUGAGGCAGGGGGGCAGAGGUCUGUGUCAGACAUGGG